AAAGUACUCUCUCCGUCUCAAAUUUUUUGUCUUAGAUUUAUCUAGAUACGGAUGUAUAUAGCACUAAAACGUGAAUAGAUACAUCCGUAUAUAGACAAAUCUCACACAAAAAUUUUGGAACGAAGGGAGUAGUAU
rfam:Triticum aestivum genome assembly, contig: Triticum_aestivum_CS42_TGACv1_scaffold_030367_1BL